rnacentral:rRNA from 1 species
UCCUACGGGAGGCAGCAGUAAGGAAUAUUGGUCAAUGGAGGGAACUCUGAACCAGCCAUGCCGCGUGCAGGAUGACUGCCCUAUGGGUUGUAAACUGCUUUUGUCAGGGAAUAAACCUUUCCACGUGUGGGAAGCUGAAUGUACCUGAAGAAUAAGGAUCGGCUAACUCCGUGCCAGCAGCCGCGGUAAUA